rnacentral:rRNA from 1 species
AGAACGAACGCUGGCGGCAGGCCUAACACAUGCAAGUCGAGCGCCCAGCAAUGGGAGCGGCGGACGGGUGAGUAACACGUGGGAAUGUACCUUUCGGUACGGAACAACGCAGGGAAACUUGCGCUAAUACCGUAUACGCUCUUACGGGGAAAGAUUUAUCGCCGAAAGAUCAGCCCGCGUUGGAUUAGCUAGUUGGUGGGGUAACGGCCUACCAAGGCAACGAUCCAUAGCUGGUUUGAGAGAACGAUCAGCCACACUGGGACUGAGACACGGCCCAGACUCCUACGGGAGGCAGCAGUGGGGAAUCUUGGACAAUGGGGGAAACCCUGAUCCAGCCAUGCCGCGUGAGUGAUGAAGGCCUUCGGGUUGUAAAGCUCUUUCGCACGCGACGAUAAUGACGGUAGCGUGAGAAGAAGCCCGGCUAACUUCGCGCCAGCAGCCGC